GACGAACGCUGGCGGCGUGCUUAACACAUGCAAGUCGAACGGAAAGGCCCUGCUUUUGUGGGGUGCUCGAGUGGCGAACGGGUGAGUAACACGUGAGUAACCUGCCCUUGACUUUGGGAUAACUUCAGGAAACUGGGGCUAAUACCGGAUAGGAGCUCCUGCUGCAUGGUGGGGGUUGGAAAGUUUCGGCGGUUGGGGAUGGACUCGCGGCUUAUCAGCUUGUUGGUGGGGUAGUGGCUUACCGAGGCUUUGACGGGUAGCCGGCCUGAGAGGGUGACCGGCCACAAUGGGACUGAGAUGAGGCCGAGACUACUCCGGGAGGCAGCAGUGGUGAAUAUUGCACAAUGAGCGGCGGCAUGAUGAAGGAGCGCCGCGUGCGGGAUGACGGCGUUCGGGUUGUAAACAGCUUUCGCCUGUGACGAAGAGGGAGUGACGGUAAUGGGUAAAGAAGCACCGGCUAACUACGUG
rnacentral:rRNA from 1 species